GCGGGAGUAGCUCAGUGGUAGAGCAUCAGCUUCCCAAGCUGAGGGUCGCGGGUUCGAUCCCCGUUUCCCGCU
rfam:Bacteroidetes bacterium GWA2_31_9 gwa2_scaffold_10343, whole genome shotgun sequence.